CCAAACUUGGUCAUUUAGAGGAAGUAAAAGUCGUAACAAGGUUUCCGUAGGUGAACCUGCGGAAGGAUCAUUAUUGAAUAAAUUAGGCAAGUUGUUGCUGGCUUCUAACUUGAAGCAUGUGCACACUUGAUCUAUAUUUUCUAACCACCUGUGCACUGAUGUAGAAUUUGAAAAACUUUUUCAAGUAUAUAUUAUAACCUACUUGGAUUGAGAAUUGCCGAGUUGAUUAAAGCUGGCUUUUUUCUUAUAUUUCAGAUUCUAUGUUUUUAUAUAUACGCCAAAUAGCAUGUAUCAUGACUAUUGAGAGCAUGUAUGCUCUAAAAUAAAAUAUAACUUUCAACAACGGAUCUCUUGGCUCUCGCAUCGAUGAAGAACGCAGC
rnacentral:misc_RNA from 1 species